CCCGUGGGGUCUAAUACCCGCUCCCACACACACACACACACACUGAGAGGAUUACUGUCUGUGUGUUGUCCCGUCCGAGCUCUGCUAGCUGAGUCCAGCCCGAUCCAGCAGAGCACAACAAGAGCACACCCAGGAGUUAAUCUGGAUCAUGACGCCACUCGUUUCUUUAGUCUGCCUCUAAAAGACAGGAAGACAAGCGGAGCCGGGAGGAGGAGGAGGAGUGUGUAAGGAAAUCCUGUGACUCAUGAGAAAAGAGGAUACCUGCCGUUUCACUGAUCCCAGCACAGAUUGAGAAACACUCUGUCAACGUGAAGGCACGUUCGUCCUUGGGCCGUGCUCCUGAACUGACUCAUUGUGGAGGAUGAAGAACGGGACCAAUCACGGCCGCUCCGUGUGAAUGCACUGAACCGUCGUGACCUCGGCCUCCCGCUGGGUCAACGAGUCCACGUCGGCCCGUAAGGGUCUCGAUUAAAAUGUCAUGUUGCGUCGGUCAAGGACACUUCAGCUCUGAUGCAGAAUGAGCAAAUAGCACCUGAGCCCGGUUUAUGUUGUCCUAUGUGAUAAGCUCAAGAAAAGGAUCAAUCAAGUUGUUGUUGUUUUUUUCUAUAUUAUUAAGAAACAUAUUUCCAGAAGAUCUUUUUUUAUUUGUUCUGCAGGAGAGCGUCAUACAGUACAUACAUCUGUCAGACCAAUGACAUGCAAUAAAGAGCAUCACUCUUAAAUAUGACAUGAUGCAAAUUUCCCUUCAGGAAAGUGACAGUAUUGCUUGUCUCUUAAACUAGUCCAUCAUCAUACCUGAUGAAGUUUUGUAACGAGGUUAAUGUCCAACAUAUGUUGCAAGUCAGCUGAACCAAACAGUUUUGCUGAAGUAUAAACUUGUGUUAUGAUGUAAUUUGAUUCAUCAAACCAUCUAAUUCCUUGGAUUAAGAUGCAAUUACCCAUUUCCAUGCUCUGUUGUGUCUGGCAUGUUUCUACUCUGCCAGCGUAUUGACUUCACUGAGGCAGGCUUCAUCGCUGAUCCUGCUAAAUUAAAGUCAGGUUACAUUUAGAUGACUGUCUGUACAAGGGAACAACAGCAGGAGUAAGACAGAAUCCCAGCAUACUCUGCCAGCUAAUAGUGAAUAAAAAAGUGUGUUUAAUCUUAAGCAGAAACCAACAAAUCCAAGGAAACAGAGGAUACCCGAACCAUUUUGUAUGUACAGUAUAAUAUAGUAUAUUUUUCCAGUUGUGUAGUCCUUCACCC
ensembl:lncRNA